GCGGGGCCGCGCCGGAAACGGGGCGAGGCGGGGCCGCCGCAGGAAGUGGCCCUGCCGGGCGGGAGCGCUUCCGGGUCAGGAGGUGGUGCGCCUCGCGCGGCAGAUUCGAAGCUAGGGUAGGGCCCGCGGGCUGAGGCAGCGGCUGUGGCGGCGACGCUGGGCGUGAGGUGGCGGCGGCCGCGCCCCGGUUGGGUCUCCACGGCUCUCGGGGGCGUCAUGGACGAGGCCGUGGGCGACCUGAAGCAGGCGCUUCCCUGUGUGGCCGAGUCGCCGACCGUCCACGUGGAGGUGCAUCAGCGCGGCAGCAGCACUGCAAAGAAAGAAGACAUAAACCUGAGUGUUAGAAAGCUACUCAACAGACAUAAUAUUGUGUUUGGGGAUUACACAUGGACUGAGUUUGAUGAACCUUUUUUGACCAGAAAUGUGCAGUCUGUGUCUAUUGUUGACACAGAAUUAAAGGUUAAAGACUCACAGCCCAUCGAUUUGAGUGCAUGCACUGUUGCACUUCACAUCUUCCAGCUGAAUGAAGAUGGCCCCAGCAGUGAAAAUCUGGAGGAAGAGACAGAAAACAUAAUUGCAGCAAAUCACUGGGUUCUACCUGCAGCUGAAUUCCAUGGGCUUUGGGACAGCUUGGUGUAUGAUGUGGAAGUCAAAUCCCACCUCCUCGAUUAUGUGAUGACAACUUUACUGUUUUCAGACAAGAACGUCAACAGCAACCUCAUCACCUGGAACCGGGUGGUGCUGCUCCACGGUCCUCCUGGCACUGGAAAGACAUCCCUGUGUAAAGCGUUAGCCCAGAAAUUGACGAUUAGACUUUCGAGCAGGUACCGAUAUGGCCAAUUAAUUGAAAUAAACAGCCACAGCCUCUUUUCUAAGUGGUUUUCGGAAAGUGGCAAGCUGGUAACCAAGAUGUUUCAGAAGAUUCAGGAUUUGAUUGAUGAUAAAGACGCUCUGGUGUUCGUGCUGAUUGAUGAGGUGGAGAGUCUCACAGCCGCCCGAAACGCCUGCAGGGCGGGCACCGAGCCAUCAGAUGCCAUCCGCGUGGUCAAUGCUGUCUUGACCCAAAUCGAUCAGAUUAAAAGGUAAGCAGGACAUGCAGCAGUUUUCCCUGAGAAGUGAUGAGAAGUUUGUCCCAAAGAAAUGCGUGAUACUUGUACAACUCUAGAUCUUAGUGCCCAGCUCUUUUACCUAAAAGUGCAUUGGCAUUGAGUAUUGACCCCUUUUCCACAUUGGAAGCAGCAUAUCAUAAAUGCUUUUUAAAGAAAUUGUUUUUAGUUUAUUAAAAAUGUAAGAGAAGGCCGGGCACAGUGGCUCACACCUGUAAUCCCAGCACUUUGGGAGGCCAAGGCAGGCAGAUCAUGAGGUCAGGAGAUUGAGACCAUCCUGGCUAACAUGGUGAAACCCUGUCUCUACUAAAAAUACAAAAAAUUAGCUGGGCAUGGUGGCAGGCGCUUGUAGUCCCAGCUACUCAGGAGGCUGAGGCAGGAGAAUGGCGUGAACCCAGGAGGCGGAACUUGCAGUGAGCCGAGAUCGCACCACUGCCCUCCAGCCUGGGUGACAGAGCAAGACUCCGUCUCAGAAAAAAAAAAUGUGAAAGAAAACUCAGGCACGUGUCAGCACCAACCAGUGCUGCUCGUAGGUGAAUGGCUCUCCCCUGCUCGCCCUGCUGGCCCAGGACAGACAGCUUCGUGGGCAGAUGGUCCACAUCUCCACAGUCCAGCCUCGCAGGGCCAGGGCCUGUUGUCAUUGUAGCCCAAGUUGAUCAAGCCUAAGGAGGGACAGCUGCUGGCCCAACUCCCAAGGAAGUGAUGGGUGAGCCAGAACCUGUCUGUCCCUGUGUGGUGGUCAGCCAGGACUCAGGUUCCUUCUCUGAAAUGCUCUUUCUGCCCUCAGGGUGCCUGGGGAGUCCCUGGCAUUCUCAGAAGCUGGAUUGUUGAGUGUGGGGUGACAGCAAACUGAACUGUGCAGAGGAACGUUUUGUCCAGGCCAUCACCACUGUCUCAACACAGAGAGCGUAUCUGGCUUCCUGAGAAGCGCUCGUCUUGGGGUCAGCUGCAGGAGUGUGUGCCGAGACCAGCUCGGUUGGGGAGACCCUAACCCAGCGGCGCUAGAGGAAUUAAAGACACACACACAGAAAUAUAGAGGUGUGAAGUGGGAAAUAGGGGUCUUACAGCCUUCAGAGCUGAGAGCCCCGGACAGAGAUUUACCCACGUAUUCAUUAACAGCAAGCCAGUCAUUAGCAUUGUUUCUGUAGAUAUUAAAUUAACUAAAAGUAUCCCUUAUGGGAAAUGAAGGGAUGGGCUGAAUUAAAGGAAUAGGUUGGGCUAGUUAACUGCAGCAGGAGCAUGUCCUGAAGGCACAGAUCACUCAUGCUAUUGUUUGUGGCUUAAGAAUGCCUUUAAGCAGUUUUCCGCCCUGGGCGGGCCAGGUGUUCCUUGCCCUCAUUCCUGUAAACCCAGAACCUUCCAGAGUCGGCGUCAUGGCCAUCAUGAACAUGUCACAGUGCUGCAGAGAUUUUGUUUAUGGCCAGUUUUGGGGGGCUUGUUCCCAACAAGUGUGCAGGUCCUGGAGGGGGGCCUCCCCUGCCUCUGGCUUCCUUCUCCUUUUGUCCACUUCCAUCCCUACGUGGCUUGUGCCUCAGUCUGCUGCAAUCUGGCUCCUACUCCUGCCGCAGCCCAAGAGCCCCGCAUUCACACGAGUGUUCACUUUUCUCUUUCUGGAACUUUGCACAGCGCUGACACCCUGAUGGCCCCUUCCCUGAAUCUGUUUGAGCCUCCCUCCCCGGCCUCCACUCUCCUGUCCCCCCGGUUUAUGCUGCUGGCAUCUCUCCACGGGGGGGGUCUGGGGUCUACACAGCCUGUCUGUGGCCUUCUCUCCUGGCCUGUGCCCCUUCAGCAUAGCUCAGGGUUCUGUGGGGGGAAUCCCAGACCUACACAUCCACCUGUGACCAGACAUCAGGCUUAGAUGCCCGGGAUGCCAGGCACACUCCCACACUGCUCAUUGGGCCCCAAAUCCCUAACUUCCUGGGAUUCCGCAUGACACUGAUGGCCUCACUGUGCACCUGCCACUCAAACCAGAGGAUGGAGGUCACCGUGACAUCUCCCUGUCAGUCACAAGGGCGUGUGGCUCAGGAAGAAACAAGGAGACACACUUGCCUCUCUUGCCUUCAUUCCCUCGUGCUCCUGGUUCCAGCCCCUCUCUAGAGGACUCUUUCUGUCCCCCAGCAGUCCUAUCCACUCCUGCAUCUCUGGAUUGUCAACCCCUGGGUGGUGAUCUCCAGGCCUAGGCCUCCCUCUGGCCCUUCCUCAGCCCCACCCUCCUGGUGCUGGACUGGGCAGCUGUGAGCUCACCCGACCUCUGUGCCUUGUUCCUCUGCCGGGACCCACAGGCUCCCUGUCCUGUCUCUGCUGAGCUCACCCCGGCUCGCAGGCACGGGGCCUGCCCUCCCUUGGCCAGGGUCUAGGUAAAGUUGACCUUCCCCAGGCAGCAAUGGUAGCAAUGCCACACGUGCAGCCAAGCCCCACCGGGCCUGUGCAGCAUGCUCCCUGGGGGCAUCUUGUGCCUGCUCUGUGCUGACUCAUGCUGGGCCCUUGGGGGACAUUGGUCAACAGACCAGACAACAGGGGCUCUCUCUAUGGAGUUUAGACGCUAGAGGGGAGAGCAGAUCGUGAACAUGGGAAGUAACCCAGCUCUAGGGUAUGUCUAGGGAUGAUGAGUGGCCAUACCCAGGUGGUGGUGGGCACCAGAGCCUACGGUAGGUGGCACGGUCAGGAACGCUGUGUGAAAGUGAGAUCCUUGCUAGGCCGGGCGCGGUGGCUCACACCGGUAAUCCCAGCACUUUGGGAGGCCGAAGCAGGUGGAUCACGAGGUCAGGAGAUCAAGACCAUCCUGGCUAACACAGUGAAACCCCGUCUCUACUAAAAAUACAAAAAAUUAGCUGGGCACAGUGGCGGGUGCCUGUAGUCCCGGCUACUUGGGAGGCUGAGGCAGGAGAAUGGUGUGAGCUGGCAAGGCGGAGCUUGCAGUGAGCCAAGAUGGCGCCACUGCACUCCGGCCUGGGUGAAAGAGUGAGACUCCGUCUCAAAAAAAAAA